rnacentral:tRNA from 1 species
UCCCUGGUGGCUCAGACGGUAAAGCAUCUGCCUGCAAUGCAGGAGACCUGGAUUCGAUCCCUGGGUUGGGAG